UCAGACGAUGCGUCAUGCAUAUCAAUAAGCGGAGGAAAAGAAACUAACAAGGAUUCCCUUAGUAACGGCGAGUGAAGCGGGAAGAGCUCAAAUUUGAAAUCUUCAAGGUUUUACCUUGACGUAUUGUAGUUUGAAAGAAGUGUUUUCUGUUGAAGUUUUGGUAAAAGUUCUUUGGAAUAGGACAUCAUAGAGGGUGAGAAUCCCGUAUUUGACCAUUAUUUCCAGCUUUGUGAUACACUUUCAAAGAGUCGGAUUGUUUGGGAAUGCAGUCCAAAAUGGGUGGUAAAUUUCAUCUAAAGCUAAAUAUUGGCGAGAGACUGAUAGCGAACAAGUACCGUGAGGGAAAGAUGAAAAGAACUUUGAAAAGAGAGUUAAACAGUACGUGAAAUUGUCAAAAGGGAAGCGUUUGACACCAGUGUUGUUUUCUCGAAAAUCAAUUAAAAAGAGUUGGAUUUUGUGUUGUAUUGACCUUAACAGCUUGCUUCACUCUUUUCCUGCUUUUUUUAAUGCACUUUUCGUUUAACAAGUCAACAUCAGUUUCUUUUGUUGUAAAAGGGUCAUUGGAAGGUGGCUUUCUCUUCGGAGAAAGUGUUUAUAGCCUUUGAUCUCUGCAAUCGGAGAGACUGAGGUCUGCAGCGUAGAUCCUUCGGGGUUAGAUACAUUUGUGCUAAGUUAUAGCUUUUCAUAGACAACUUGUUGACUAUGAUUAGUCAUUGUAGCUUACUCGCUUAUGCUAUUUUACCUACGCUUAGGAUGUUGAUAUGCAUGACUGAUAU
rnacentral:rRNA from 1 species